rnacentral:rRNA from 1 species
GACAGAGGGUGCAAACGUUGUUCGGAAUUACUGGGCGUAAAGCGAGUGUAGGCGGUUUCCUAAGUCGGAUGUGAAAGCCCCGGGCUCAACCCGGGAAGUGCACUCGAAGCUGGGAGGCUAGAGUAUCGGAGAGGUUGGUGGAAUUCUCGGUGUAGAGGUGAAAUUCGUAGAUAUCGAGAGGAACACCGGUGGCGAAGGCGGCCAACUGGACGAAUACUGACGCUGAGACUCGAAAGCGUGGGGAGCAAACAGG